rnacentral:lncRNA from 1 species
UAAAAAAAAAAAAAAAAAAAGUUCAAUGGUAGUCUGUUUCCGAGUCAUCAUCACCAGAUGAAUCUGAAUCUGGAUCUUGGUGAAACUCUCCAAUCACUGGUUCAUCCUCUACGUGAACGACGGCUUCCUCUCCAAAGUCGGUUAAAUCGACUACAAGGCCAACUCCAGCUAAAUCUUCUGCUGCACUUAAGUUGCCGGAUGUGCUUGGUUGUAGUGGGUCUUCCAGCUCAGAACUUCCCUGAACUCGGCCUCUCGGGUUGAGUCUUGUAACAGUAACCCAUGGAUCAUCUCUGUUCCUUACCCGGGGGUACUUGAUAUAACAAACCUGUAACAUUUAGAAAAAUUAUAAAUUAAUACACAUGAUGAUGAAUCAUUCUGAAUAAUUAACAUUUAAUUACCUGAUCGGCCUGAGAAGCAAGAAUGAAAGGAUCAUAAUAUUGCAGCUUUCGCCUCGAAUUUACUGAUGUAACACCAAAUGCAUCUGUUCUCACACCUCGAUCUGGGGUGUUGUCGUGCCAAUCACAAUAGAAAACAGUACAGCGCAAUCCAACCAUGCCCAAAUACUUGAUUUCCAAAAUCUCAUGUAUGUGUCCGUAGUAUACAUCAUCUCCUGAUGCAGAACAAACGCCAGCAUCAUAAGUCGUACUCGAACGUCUCCUCUUCUGAGUUGUGAAUGCAUAUCCUCGAGUACAAAAUCUCGGAUAUGACUUCACAACAAAGUUUGGUCCAACGACCAUCUCACGUAUCCAAUCGUCAAAUGUUUCACCUCUGGCCAAACCAGCAGACACCUAUUAAUAGCACAUAUAUAUAUAUUAUAUCAAUAAAUGUGAAUUAGUAUAAAUAUGUGAUAAAAUAUAUUUUAAUUUGUUUAAAGCACUCACAUAAGUAAACAUCCAUCCAGUAAAUUCUCUCUGCUUCAUUUCUUCUAGUUCGUCCUCUGUGGCGUAUCUAUACUCGAACCGCUUUUCUGCCAUGAAAAUCCUGUAUAUGAUGACAAUAAUGUAAUUAAUUAAGAUUUAAAUUUCAACUUGUUAAAAUAAAAAUUUGUAAGCUCAUUUAUUUACCUCUCAUAUUGAAGAACGUCUUCGCAGUUGGUGAGCAAAUAUGUUUGCAAAUGACUGCGCUCCUGCUCAGUAAGUCGACGGUCCUUUGGUUUUCCGCUAAGUCGUCCAACGUCUGUGAAAAUGUCUGGAACCGUAACAUGAUAUGUUGCCCGUUCGCCUCUAUCAUCAUGCCGAGCAGGUCUUCUGUUUUUGGUCUGAACUUCUGCUGGAAAGUAGUACUCGGCAAAGUUUGAAGUUUCUUCAUUGAUCAUCUGUGCGACUAUAGAACCUUCCACCCUACUUAAAUUUUUCACCAUCUUCUUCAAAUGGAACAUAUACCGCUCAUACAGAUACAUCCAUCUAUACUGCACAGGACCACCAAGUUCCAAUUCUCUUGCCAGGUGAAUAACAAGAUGCUCCAUAACAUCAAAAAAUGAGGGAGGAAAUAUCUUCUCAAGGUUGCACUGAAUCACGGCUAUGUUAGUCUUCAAAUUUUCAAUACCUUCAAGAGUCACUGAUCUCGUGCAUAAAUCGCGGAAGAAACCACUUAUCCCUGCAAUUGCUUCAUGAACAUUUCGUGGUAAUAGUUCCUUGAAGGCGAACGGAAGGAGACGCUGCAUCAUUACAUGGCAAUCGUGGCUUUUCAAGCCAGUAAACUUUCCUUCCUUUCUGUCGAUACAGUUACGCAAAUUUGAUGCGUAACCGUCUGGAAAUUCCACAUCGUUUGAAAUCCAAUCAAAGAACGCAUCUUUUCCCGCUGCAUCAAGUCGGUAUAUGGGAAAAGGAGCCCUACCAUUCUCAUCAACAUGAAGUUCUGAACGAGCACAUAUAUCGACUAAAUCCAGUCUUGACUUCAAAUUAUCCUUUGUUUUACCUUGAACAUUAAGGAUCGUGUUCAUGAGAUUGUCAAAAAAGUUCUUCUCAAUAUGCAUGACAUCUAAAUUAUGCCUUAGCAGAUGAUCCUCCCAGUAUGGCAGAUCCCAGAAAAUACUUUUUUUGUGCCAGUUAUGUAGUUCUCCAACAGCAUCUACCGGAAAACGCUCAUGUCCACCGACUUCUGGCGUCCUUUCUGCACCAAAAUCUCUUAGUUGUAUCUUCAAAUCUUUCCCACAAAUUUCCGGAGGUGGACUGUCAAACACCCUCUUGUUCUUCGUAAACAAAUUCCUACUCCUACGAUAUGGAUGAUCAGGUGGUAGGAAUCUCCUGUGACAGUCAAACCAACACGUUUUCCUUCCGUGUUUUAGUUGGAAAGCAUCAGUGUUAUCUUGACAAUAUGGACAUGAUAGCCUUCCAUGCGUUGUCCAUCCAGACAACAUACCAUAUGCUGGAAAAUCACUUAUUGUCCACAUUAGUACUGCCCGCAUUUGAAAGUUUUCUUUACACGAAACAUCGUAUGUUUCAGCACCUUGAGCCCAUAGUUGUUGCAACUCAUAUAUUAGUGGCUGAAGAAACACAUCAAGUGAUCUCUUAGGAUGCUCUGGUCCGGGAACGAGAAUCGAGAGAAACAAAAACUCUCGUCGCAAGCACAAGUUUGGGGGGAGGUUGUAUGGUGUAAGAAUGACGGGCCAUAGAGAAUACUGUCUUCCACUCUUGCCAAACGGACUGAAACCAUCAGUACAUAAUCCAAGGUAGACAUUUCUUCUCUCAUACGCAAAGUCGGGAUACUUUGAUUGGAAAUGCUUCCACGCUUUUGCAUCUGAAGGAUGUCUGAUCUCACCAUCUGUUGAGUGCUCCGCAUGCCAUCUCAUUGGUUGCGCUGUGCGUUCAGACAGAUACAACCUCUGCAACAUUUCCGUCAAAGGUAAAUACCACAUCCUUUUAUAUGGCACUGGAACUCUUCCACUUGUAUCUUUAUAACGAGGCUUUCCACAAAAUUUGCAUGUAACCCGCUGUUCAUCCGCCCUCCAAUAAAUCAUGCAGUUGUCGCUGCAUACAUCUAUUACCUGAUACGAUAAACCAAGACCAGCUACGAGUUUCUGAACCUCGUAGUAUGAACCAGGAGCUACAUUAUCCUCGGGUAGAAUACUUUUUACAAAAUCAGCAAUCGCAUCCACACAGUCUUCAGCCAAAUUAUAAUCUGUUUUAAUGCCCAUCAAUCUUGUAGCAGAUGAUAAAGCUGAAUGACCAUCUCUGCAACCUUCGUACAAUGGUUGCUUUCCAGCAUCCAACAUAAUUUUUUAUAUCAUGAAAAUAAUUUUUCAUAUUUUCUAAUGUUUAUUAUUUUUUGUUAUAUUUGGUUAUAAUUUUCAUCAUUUAUUUAUGUUAAUUAUAUGUUGUGUUUUCUCAGUAUAUUGUGGGUGAUUGGUUGGACUGUAGCUAUAAAAAUUUAGCUUUAAAAUUUAGGUUGUAGGUGUUUUGACUGUAGCUAUAAAUAUGUUGCCGUAGAUUUUUGGCAAAGAUUUUUGAUGUAGUUAUGAUGACUGUAGCUGAAAAUUAUUGGCUGUAAUUUUAUCAAAAUAAAGCAUGAUUGGCAAUAAUUUUUUUGGCGGUAGUAUUUUAAUGUAAUAUAUAAAUAACUUUUAUAUCCCCCCUCCCCCCAAAAAAAAACUUAAUAUUCAUAAGAAAAGCCAUCUAAUAAUAGUAAAACCACUAUCUAAAUAAUAAUAAUUUUACCUAUGAAAAUUCCAUAAAUUCAUUGCAAUCGUCUCGAAAACCCUCCAUGUAUUGUCUAGAAUCGACCAUUUCAACAUCUUCAGGAUCUCCAAUCUCCUCAUCUAACGAUGUUUGAUGGUUGCCACCUUGCUCCCAAUUUGCUAGUAUUCGCCAUGUCUAUAACAAAUACACAAUAUAAGUAUGUUAAUUACAACAAACGUCACGUGAAGAUGAUGAUAGAUGAUGAAGUAUGCAUAUGUUAAUUAUCGUUUUUAAACUACCUUGAUACACGCUUAGUGUUACAUGCUUUUACCCAAAAUAAAGAUCAGAUUUAGUUAAAGCCUAACCAAUCACCCACGUUAUUAGUUUUCCUUAACUUGAGUUUGAUGAUUAAAGAGACAGAAAACUCUUCGAUUCACUUGUUUUUUUCAUUAUGGUUGACCUUGCUUUGAUAAAACAUUACAUAUUUUAAAUCACUAAACUUUUUACAUAUUUUUGUGCACAUAUUGGUUUGUGCCGCAAUCACAAAAGGCCAAGAAUAAUUAUAUGUUCCGGGAUUAAUAGAUUUUCGUAUGUAUUAUGAAUAACAUACAUAAUCAAAUUUAGCUGCUUUUUGUGUUGGUUUUGGAAAACGAUAGAUGUAUGCUCUUGCUUCCUCCAACUUCUUGAAAAGAUAAAGGUACAAACUUCAACUUUUUGUUCUCAAUCUUUUUGAAAAUUCAAGUUUCAGAUAAGGUUAUUGCCGUCCAUGUAGUUGCUCCAGAGAUAUCUCUCCUGGAUCUAUUGUAUUUCAUGUAACUGCUUGUAAGUUGACCAGCUGCAAUUGCUGAUAUUAGAGAUAACUCUCAGGCUAAAACUGCUCAUGCCACUAUCGUCGCUACUCUCCUUGACUUCAUCCCCAACACCUCCAUGCGUGUUUCUUUGCCGAUUGAAACGGAAACUGUGUUUCUUUUUUCUCAAUGUCCCAACCUGAAAAUGUAAACCAUGAUAAAUAAAACAAUAUGUUGCUGGCAUGAGCGUUGAAUCCACCUAGAGAGCCUGCAACAGCAUAGACGGUCAGGUUCCUGAGCAUAUUGAGCUCUACCAAGACAGCCACACUCGCUAGAGAUUACGUUCACAUUCAUGUCAGAGAAAUCAUAGGUGAGGAACUCAAUAACAUUAUGCACACCUUUGAUUACUAUGUUCAUCCUCAUAGCCCCACCAGUGUUACAACUGAACAUUACGUAGGCAUUUUUCUCUGCCAAUGUACAGUGAACACUUUUAGCCGCAUAAAUCUACUUGACAUGCAUACACAAAAUCUCUAUUUCAUCAGCAAAAGUUUCGAUCUCGAAUCAACCCACUCCACAAACAUAAAGAAAGUUUACAUCUUGGUAGACGUGUUGAAAACGACAGCCAAAGUUUGGAAGUGAUCUGGAUUCUCCAAGGAAGACUCAAGUUCUGUAGCAUGUUAGCACGACACAACAGGUACUCUAGUCGUUCCCGUUCCGUCCUUGAGAACCGUAAUGGUAGCUCCGCCUGAGACGUACAUAGCUUUACAGCCUCUGUUUGUGCUAGCAACCAAAUAACUUAGUUGUAGCCAUCAGAAAAGAGUCGUCGUACCCAUCAACGUAUCCCACAGAAAAAAUAGAUUAGUUCCAAACUGGGAAAACAAAUCAAUUUCGACGCACACCUUUUAGCAUCUUAAGGUGCUCUCACUUGAUCUGGAUUAUGCUGAUUGCCAUGGUUUCCCUUCUUAUUAGGUUGGUUCACGAUGAGCCAAAAAAAUAAAAAUGCAAAAUUUCUCAAUUGAAAAAAUAAAACUGGUAUACGUGAAGGUUACGGAAAAAGUGCCACGUCGAGCCAUCUGGCUUUCUGCUAUGUCUAUUAGCUUCUGUUUAAGGAUCAGCCUACACAGAAGAAGUAUAAGAAACAGUUUAAUAAAACAUCAGAUUUCAAAAAUAGUAACUUUUAAAUAAGAAUUAUGCCUGGCUUAAUCUGAUACAAUGCUUAUUGCAAUGGAGAAAACAUCUCGAUGCCCGCAGCGGUGUGUCAUGCGCCGAUAUGGCACUAUUCUACGUCUUCAUCCUUUACGGUCCUACCGUGAGUCUACGCCUCCCGUCGCCUUCUUCCUUCUCUAGUUUCAUUUUCGAGUAGUUGUUAUAAUCUGGGCCGAGUAGAUAAAUCGAUGAGUGUAUUUGAGAUGCAUGGUUCAAGCGCUUAACAUGAAGUAUAUAUAGGGACGAAGAACGAAGAUGUAACGAUUAGAAACUUUAAUGAUGAACAGGGUAAAUAGGGGGAGAUGUAGCGCUUGGGAAAGACAGACUGCUCCAUGGAACCGCAAAGAGUCACGGAGAUCGAAGAAUCUGAAUCGAAUGAUAGAAACCCUAGAUUUCCAUCGAGGAAAAAGUUUACGACCAGAUAAGUCAUCUGGGCCAUUCUUUUACUAUUUGAUACGAAGCCUAUUUUACGUCUCACAAAACUCGUUAUUAUCAAGCCCAUUUGAUAUAAGAUGCUGCUCGAGUAACACAAAAUCAUCGUUAAAAAAAAAUUAAUAGAGGUGGGGCCCACACGUUUGCCACACGGAUAUUUUAAAAACGCAAAGUCCAACAUACGCAAACAGCAGCUUACGUGGCAAAACCUUAAAACAUGAUUGAAUGAUUUUUCCAUUAUGGACAGUCUAUCUGAGGCUCUUAUUCUCAUUUUAUUACUUGUUUGAUUAUGAUCAUUGCCAAAACUAUUUGGACUUCAUGUAUGUAUUGUAUUUAACCUUAUUACAUAGUAAUAUAUUGUACUAGGGUCGGUCCGGGUUACGCCCGGAGUUUUUCUAUUAUGUUUAUUUUUAAUUCUUUCAUUUUACUUUAUUUCAAUAUAAUGUAUAUAUUUAUACUAGGGGCGGCCCGCCCUACGUGCGGGAUGACAAUUUGAAAAUAAUUUAAAUAGUUAGAAUAAAUAUUUUUGAUAUUUGUUUAAUAUUUGUUUUUAUUUUAAAAUGUUCUGUUCUAUAUUAGUAUAAAUUAUUAUUUUAUUAAUUGUUAUUCUUUAUUCAGUUUUAUUCCCAUUACAAUUAAAUACAUUUUACCUUACGAUUAAUAAGAUUGUUUAUUUGAAGUUUUAUUCUGAUUUUAUUAUAAUGGUGUAGAAUUGUUGAUUUAUUUGUUUAAUUUUAAGUUACCUAGUUUUAUUCAUUCUUUUACAUUAUUUUAUAUCGUGCUCUUAUUCGACUAUAUAACAAUAUAUUUUAAUUUUACACAGUUGUGGAUCUAUGUUUAUAGUUUUUCUUAGAAUUCAUGACAUAAAUAUUUAAAAUAUAUUAUACAUUUAUUUAGUUAGAAUAACUUAACAUAUCUCUUUUAAUCUAUUAUGUAUUACUAUUUGGUUAUAUUUUCUUCGAUUUUUUAAUUUUCUAAUCUUGAGCUAUAAAAUGAUGGAAUCAUUUUGAUAAGCUUUACAUUUUUUAUUUUCAUUUGAUAAAAUGUGUAGACACAAUAACACAAAAAAAAAUCGUUUUUGUUCUUGUAUUUUGGAUGAUAUUAUAUAUUGUGUGCUAAAAUAAUUUCACAUUGAUGGAUUUUUUUUGUUAGAUUGUAAUUAAACUAUUGAUUAAAAAGAAGUUUUGGGUUAUUAAACAUUUUAUUAAUAAUUUUUGUUAAUAGAAUAAGAUGAUAAAGAAUAUAGAGUGUUUAAUGCAUUUUUAAAAAUUAUUGAUCAUCCGGAACAUUUAGGUUACUUCAAUAUAGUGAAGUUUAGAGCUUUUUAACACUAAGGAGCUUAUAUGCAAAUAAAUAUAUAGAAAUUAUAACAAUAAUCUGUAACAUUUCUCAAAAAAAAAACAAUAAUCUGUAGCAACAAAUAUAAAAAAGAGUCAAUGUGGUAUCUCCUCCCUCUUGUACAAACAACACCAUAGUAAUAUAAGAAUAUAUUGAUUAUAAUUAACUGAUAGAUAGAGAUCUUACGAAAGAUGGAGACCCCAAAUUACUUUAUAAAAAGAAAAGGUUUGUUUUUUUUCAUAUCCUUUCGACUUUAUCCGUCUCUUUUAAUCUAUUAUGUAUUACUAUUUGGUUAUAUUUUCUUCGAUUUUUUAAUUUUCUAAUCUUGAGCUAUAAAAUGAUGGAAUCAUUUUGAUAAGCUUUACAUUUUUUAUUUUCAUUUGAUAAAAUGUGUAGACACAAUAACACAAAAAAAAAUCGUUUUUGUUCUUGUAUUUUGGAUGAUAUUAUAUAUUGUGUGCUAAAAUAAUUUCACAUUGAUGGAUUUUUUUUUGUUAGAUUGUAAUUAAACUAUUGAUUAAAAAGAAGUUUUGGGUUAUUAAACAUUUUAUUAAUAAUUUUUGUUAAUAGAAUAAGAUGAUAAAGAAUAUAGAGUGUUUAAUGCAUUUUUAAAAAUUAUUGAUCAUCUGGAACAUUUAGGUUACUUCAAUAUAGUGAAGUUUAGAGCUUUUUAACACUAAGGAGCUUAUAUGCAAAUAAAUAUAUAGAAAUUAUAACAAUAAUCUGUAACAUUUCUCAAAAAAAAAACAAUAAUCUGUAGCAACAAAUAUAAAAAAGAGUCAAUGUGGUAUCUCCUCCCUCUUGUACAAACAACACCAUAGUAAUAUAAGAAUAUAUUGAUUAUAAUUAACUGAUAGAUAGAGAUCUUACGAAAGAUGGAGACCCCAAAUUACUUUAUAAAAAGAAAAGGUUUGUUUUUUUUCAUAUCCUUUCGACUUUAUCCGCCUUGAUCACAUGAUUGGCCUUUGCGAUUACAUCACGUCCAACUUCUUUGAAAUUGAAGCUACACUCGUGCUUCUCUGGGCACCUAUGGCUUCUGCAGAACGUGCUACCGCAUUUGCACUUAAACCCCAUAACCCCAGCCUUCUUGUUACAGCUGAAACACCUGUUAGUCCGUGCAGGUUUCGACGGCUCUGCCUCCUCCUGUCCCGUGGCUAUAGGAGCUGAUGACGGCUCAGCGGUUACAACAACAGAGGCUGGUUCGGUUUCAAGAGGCUGUUUUUGCUCUGGUGUGAUAAUGAGACUGCAAGAUGGAAGCUUAAGUGAGUUCUUGACAGCAGAUUUUGCUACAGCGGUUAGAUCUUCCUCGGCUCGGAGAAUUCUGUAGCAUUUGGAACAGAGGUUCAUGUUGGAAGACACAAAGAAACCGCAUCUAUUGUCGCAGAGUUCUGGCUCAGUUGGUGGGAAGCUUGUACUGUUGUUUUGCUCAGAGUUCAUUGUUGUUCCUUUCUUCUUCUUCUCAAAUCUGUUAAACAAACAAAAAAUUUAUAUUCUGACAGUAACAGAAGAAUGUUUUUUUUUAAAGGUUGUCGUUUCAGAACAUUAUAAAGAUGAAAAUCUUUGCAUUAAUUUGAUUCAACCCACCUACGAAAUUGAAUCAAUUGAAUGAAACCCAGAUUCGGUAUAAUCAAUUUGCCUCAAUUCGAUACAACACAGGUUCUAUAUAAUCAUCAAAUGAAAAUCAAUUCGAUAUAAUCAAACUGAUUCAUUUCGAUUUAAAAACCUAGCUUCAAAUAAGAUCUAUCAUUGUGUAGAUUCAAUGAUCGUCACAGGAGGGAGGUUGCGACAGGUUCCAAUGAUCAUCGCAAGAGGGAGUCGAACCGCGACGGAGGAGUUACAACAGCGCCGAUUUAAUGACGAAGAGGAAAGCAAAAUUAGCAAUUUUCUCUUGAUUUUUUAGAAGAUUAUGAUGAAGAGGAUUGAAUAUAUGAUUUUGUGGGAGAUAAUGUACCUUUAAAUCGGCAAGGAAGAUGUCCCUACCACGUUUGACAUUCCCGGCGUCACAUAAUUGCAGCAAGCUAACCUGUACAGUGAAAAAACAUAUAUCGGAUUUCAAAUCAGGAAAAAUAAUAAGUUUACUUCGCUGCUUAAACAGAUUGGGAAGAUGGUUUUGAGAGGAGGAAGGCUAACCUAUUUAUACUGGCAAUCGCAUGUAGACCGCCUUGCAAAAGAGAAAAUCGCAUUUUAAGUCUAAAUCGUGGUUGAUGAAGGUAAGAAAGGGUUAAGAACGAUGAAUCUGUAACUGAAACGUUGUGGUUGAUUAAAGUGAAGAUCAAACUAUUCAUCUCGGGAUUCUUCAUCACAGAACUAAAAAUCUAAAUCUCUUGGGUGGCGGAGAAGAAAGAUUUGGAUGAAAUCUAGAAUGAGAGCAUUAGGAUUUCUUGUGAGCUGGAUUCCGUGAGCCAAACAUAAAGCCCACCCCCAAAAUAGCCCAUAACUGUCGAUGAUGAUGUUAAUGAAACGCAGAAUAUUGAGGCAGGGGAUACGUGUCAUGCUGUAGAUUAACAAAUUUAUGACGUGGACGCCUACAUGGCAGCAUCAGAAGAGAGAAAACAUUCUUUUAUAUAAUUAGAUUUAUUAUUAAAAUAUAAAUUAUUUUUAAAAAAAUUAAAACGAUAUAUAGUUUUUCUAUUUUGUUUUGUUAAUUUUUGGUCUAGAAGAUUUGAAUUUUUUACUACUUAAAAUUUGUUAUUUUAUUAUUAUAAACUAUAUUUCAUGUGAUGUACAAACAUAUUAAAACGAUUUAAGCUUAGUUUAGUCUGAAUUUAUUUAUUGCCGCACUUAUUUAAUAGGUAAAAUAAAUUUUAAAUGAACAAUCAUGUUAAAAAAAUUGUUAAAGGUUUUAUUUUUUUUUUGGCUAAAUUUAUAACUUUUAAGGGUAUUAGGACAUUUAUCUUUUGAUUUCUUUUGUUCUUCUCCAUCAUCUAAGUUGAUGUAUUUGCAUUAUAUAUAUAAUUAGUUUGAAUAAUGUCAUAAUCGUAUUUGUAUAAUACUGUUAUUUUCUCAGAUUGGGUUGGUGAUCAAAAUAAUUAUUAACAAAGUAAAAAAGUUUUGCAUUGUGGUUAAAAAUCUAUAGCAUAGUUGUGUCACAUGCUAAUACAAUAUAAAAUGAAGUUUUUUUCUCAUAUAAUCUACAAAAUAUGCUUGCAUGAUCAUUAUAUCAUCUAUCUAUUACAAAUGAUUCUUGUUUUUAUGUUUAUUGUCCUCAACGUAGAAGAGCAAAGCAUUAUCAUACGUUUUAUUUUUAUGCUUACUCAAGUGUUCUUAAGUAUGUUAAUUAAGUACUACCUAUAGUCACUUUUUGUCUUUUAUUUUUUCAUAAACCCUCUGCUCACAUUAGGUAUAAAUACAUGUUUUGAGAGAAAAGUGCAACCCGUGCAAUUAUGUCAACAUGAAUUUACUUGAGGAGACUUUGAAGCUUUGAGAAGGGAUGUCUUUGGACCAUGUUGAUCUAUGUUGUUUUGUUUGUCGUCUCAAUGGCGAUGAGCUUCAUUUCGAUAUUUAUAGAUGAGUUGUAAGAUGGCUGGAACACUUCAUAAAUUGUAGAGAAUGUUAUGUAGUGUAAAGAUUUUUUUUGAUCAAUGUAAAUAUUUCUUUUAGAUUUCACUAAUGACAUCAUAUUAACUAUUAGGUGACCUUUUUAGAAAAUGCAAUCGAGUCCUAAUGUAAUUAUGAUUUUUCCCAAAAUAACUGGGUUUACAACCGGGAUUUUCAUUUGAUUGGGGUCUACAACCGGGAUUUUCAUUUGAUGAAGCACUGAGUUUGUUCUUAUACAUUCUUUACGGAUUUGAUUCGUCGAAAUUUGAAACCAUUGUCGGUGAGGAAAGCUGUGUUUACUUUGUUUUCAAAGAGGCAAUUGCCUUAGGCCCCAUAUCAUAGACACACAUUUAGGGCUUCAUUUUUUAAAAGUUUAGUUGGCUUAAUUGAUCACUUUGCUAUAUGUGAUUUUGUAGUUACAAUAUAAAUUAACAUUUCUUAUGCUUUGUUUCUUUUGAUUUUUUAAUUUUUUUAUAUAUUGAUUUUUUGUUUAUUUCUAAAUUUGUAUAAUAUAUUUAACUUAUUUUAUUUCUAAUUGCUUCAGAAAGUAAUAAACUUAAUUAUUCAGCUAGAUAAUUAUAUACUUUCAUAAUCUGAAUAUUUAAGCUUUAAUAUUCUUUAAUUUUUACCCGCAGGCUGCUAUCCCAAUAGGCCAGCGGGCGGAACGAGGAGAGGCUCCGGCAAUCAUAGCACCGCUAAUAAUAUAGGUUUACAGAAAAAUAUAAGUAUUUUUACAUAACACUAUUUGAUUCUCUUAUAGAAACUAUUUACAAUUAACUAUGAAAAAAAUAAAUGGUAUAGAUUUCACACAAUUAUUUUUAUAGGUUGAUAUUAUUAGUGUAUAUCCAUAUUAGAUAAGUACGAUAGUUAGUUAUCUGUAGUUAUCUAUAACUAUUGUUGUUAUCCUUAGAUUGGGUCUUAUCAAAGAUCCUCUAAGGCUUGUAUAUAAACGUUCUUAAGUAGUCAAUGAGAAUACACUUGAAACCCAUCUUACAUGGUAUCAGAGCAUACGAUCAAUCUCUGAAUUUUUUUUUCCGACAUCUAUGGCAAACACAAACAAUGCCUUAGCCGAAAUGGCUCUUGUUUUCAACCCUUCUGAUACAAAAACAUCGCUCAUCUCGCUCAAUAUGAAUGGGAUCACCAAACUUACCGCAGCAAAUUUCAUAACCUGGAGGCUUCAAGUCAAAGCGCUACUUGAAGCACACGAACUCCAUGUAUUCGUAGAUGAUACAGAUCAAACCCCUCCGGAGACAGUCACUGAUGCAAACGGUGUCACAACAUCAAAUCCUAUGCUUGUAGCAUGGAAACGACAAGAUCGUCUUUUGUACAGUUCCAUCCUUGGAACUCUAACUCUCAACAUCCAACCUGUGGUCGCUCGAGAAACAACAACCCAUGAGAUCUGGAGUCUGCUUCACAACACAUAUGGCAAGCCAUCAAGAGCACACGUCAAACAACUCAAACAGAGCCUGAAAAGAAGUAACAAAGGAACACAAAACAUUACUGACUACAUGUGUGGCAUCCUAGCCAAAGCUGAUCAACUUGCUCUGUUGGGUUCAGCCCUUGAACAUGAAGACCUUCUUGAUUACAUCAUUGAAGGUCUCCCGGAUGACUACAAAGCAAUUGCUGACAUGGUGAAUGGAAGAGACAUUCCCAUACCCUUGGAGGAGCUUCAUGAAAAACUUCUGAUCAGAGAAAACUCUCUGGAAACCACAGAAGAGAUCACUAACUCCUCCGCUCCAAUAACAGCUAAUGCAACUCAGAGUCGUCCAUCUCAGCAUAACCAACGACCGCAAUACCGCGGCACAAUACCAACUCGUGGAGGCUAUCAAGGAAGGGGCUGUGGCUACCUUGGCAAAUGCCAAAUCUGAGGAGUACAGGGACACCAUGCAAGACGCUGUCCUCACUACUCCUCUGCUUCCAAUGUGCAGUACCGUCCCGGAGCACCACAGAUACAAACACCGCAAUGGCACACUCCACCACCUAUGCCACCGCCACAGUGGAAUCCUCAGGCUCACUACACAGCUGCAAGCACGUCUGACAUGUCUAUGUCGUCAUGGUUUCUUGACAGUGGAGCCUCACAUCACAUUGCUUCGGACCUCAGCAAUCUCUCUCUGCACACACCAUAUCAAGGAGGCGACGAUGUCAUGAUUGGAAAUGGCACUGGACUCCCGAUCACUCACACUGGUUCAACCAAACUUCUCUCUUCAUCUAGAUCUUUAAUUUUAAAUAAUGUGUUGUGUGUUCCAUCGAUGAAGAAGAAUAUUAUUUCGGUGAACAAGCUAUGCAAAACUAACAAUGUCAUGGUUCAAAUGUGUCCCUCUGACUUUCAGGUGAAGGAUCUCAGAACGGGGCAAACAAUGCUUAACGGACAGGCCAGUAAAGGAGUCUACGAAUGGCCGACUGAAUCAUCUUCUUCAUUUAAUAAUGCUUUGGCUUUCUCCUGUUUUAAAACCUCUAAAUCGGGUUGGCACUCUCGUUUAGGCCAUCCGAAUUCUCAAACACUUAAUCAUAUGCUUUCCUGUUUUCAUUUACCAGUUUCUCCUGCGUUGUCUCAACCUUGCAAUUCUUGUUUCAGUAAUAAAACUCACAAACUUCCAUUUUCAAAUACAACUUUGUCAUCCUCUCGUCCACUAGACAUUCUGUUUUCUGAUGUCUGGACCUCUCCCAUCUACUCUAUUGACGGUUACAAAUACUAUGUUCUGUUUGUUGAUCAUUUCACAAGAUACACAUGGAUGUUCCCAAUGAAAACAAAGUCGCAGGUGGCUCAGCUCUUCCCAGCCUUCAAAACGUUAGUUGAGAAUCGGUUCAAAACAAAGAUCACAACUCUGUACUCGGACAAUGGGGGCGAAUUCAUUGGACUACGACCUUACCUGACUACACACGGCAUAUCACACCACACCACUCCACCACACACGCCAGAACACAACGGAGUAGCAGAACGGAAAUACCGGCACAUCGUGGAAACAGGCCUGACUCUACUACAACACGCCAGCAUUCCCAAUACAUACUGGAGCUACUCCUUUGUUACAGCUGUGUACCUCAUCAACCGCAUGACAACUCCGGUGUUGGCAAACUCAUAUUCGUUUCAAGCUCUAUUCCAGACACCGCCUAACUACAGCAAACUUCGAACAUUUGGGUGUCUCUGCUACCCCUGGAUACGACCUUAUGGGAACAACAAGUUCACUCCGCGAUCAACUCCAUGUGUAUUCUUGGGUUACUCUCUAACUCAAAGUGCUUUCAUUUGUUUUGAUGUUUCUCACUCUAAAAUCUACAUAUCAAGACAUGUUAUCUUCCAUGAAACUGUCUUUCCAUUCUCAUCUCUCUCUAAAGCUUCCUCUGUUUCAACUGAUGCUAGUAUUACUGAUCCUCUCUCACCCAUUGCUACUCGAGUUUCCAUUUUCAGUCAGCCAGUCGCAGGUUCCUUGGCGCCUACGUCAGCAGCGCUAACCCCGGUCUCAGACACUUCAUCACCUACACCAUCAACAACAACAUCAACAACUCCUCCCACUACAUCAACGACAUCAGAUAUCACCAACUCCAUCGCGCCUGCGACACAAUCAAGCAACACACAUGCGAUGACAACACGGUCCAAGAACAAAAUCAGCAAACCAAAUCGGAAGUAUGGCCUUGCAGCUAUUAUUUCCGAGUUCGAACCAGCGAAUAUAGCACAUGCCUUGAAAGAUAAAAGGUGGCGGCUCUCAAUGAGUGAUGAAUACAAUGCCAUCGUGCGCAACAGAACGUUUGAUCUGGUUCCUCGAUCACUUGCCACCAACAUAGUGGGCUGUCGAUGGCUACACCGCAUCAAGUACAACCCCGAUGGAACUGUGAAAUGCCUCAAGUCACGGCUUGUAGCUAAAUGCUUCCACCAACGACCACAAAUCGACUAUCACGAUACCUUCAGCCCAGUGAUCAAACAUGCCUCUAUCCGCUUAGUUCUUGGUCUAGCAAUAGCACACAACUGGCCUCUCAAACAACUCGACGUCAACAAUGCAUUUCUCCAAGGUGAUCUGACUGAGGAAGUGUACAUGACUCAUCCACCAGGAUUCGUAGACAAGGAUAAGCCCGAUCAUGUAUGUCGGCUACGCAAAGCCAUCUAUGGGCUCAAACAAGCUCCACGAGCUUGGUACAAUGCCCUAAGAGAAGCACUUAUUGGGGUCGGCUUCGUCAACUCCCUGGCUGAUGCCUCGUUAUUUGUUUUCAGCUCUGACAAUUUGCUUGUUUAUGUCCUGAUUUACGUCGACGACAUCAUCGUUACAGGAAACAACUUGUCCAAAAUCACCAGCUUCAUCAAAUAUCUUUCCUCUCGCUUCUAACUAAAGGACCUUGGUGACCUAUCAUACUUUCUUGGCAUGGAAGCUCGCAGAACAAGUACUGGUCUCCACCUCACGCAGACCAAGUACAUCACUGACAUCCUUGCCAAGACAAUGAUGACACAUUCCAAAGCUGUCGCUACUCCUAUGCACUCCACUCAGGACUUGAUACAAAACGGUGGUGUUGCUCUCGAUGAUCCUCUUACAUUCAGCGUGAUUGUGGGCAGCUUACAAUACAUGUGUCUCACACGACCAGACAUAGCAUUUGCAGUCAACAGACUCUCCCAGUUCAUGCACUGCCCCACAUCACUCCACCUUGAAGCGGCCAAAAGAGUACUCAGAUAUCUAGCGGGCACUGCGAACAAAGGCAUUUUCUUCUCCAACAAAACACCUCUCACACUCCAUGCCUACUCAGAUGUUGACUGGGCAGGAGAUCAAGACGACUACACCUCCACUGGUGCCUACAUUGUAUACCUUGGGAAAUAACCCAUCUCUUGGAGCUCACGGAAGAUGAAAGGAGUAGCACGCUCCAGCACAGAGGCAGAGUACCGAAGCUUAACAUCAACAGCAUCAGAGGUCAUGUGGAUUGCGAACGUACUGGAAGAACUUCGGUUUCCUCUCACAACAACUCCUACACUUUACUGUGACAACAUAGGAGCUACAUACUUGGCUGCAAAUCCUGUUUUCCACUCACGUAUGAAGCAUCUCGCCUUAGACUAUCAUUUUGUUCGAGAACUGGUGCAACGGAAGUUCCUGCGUGUGUCUCAUGUCAGCUCAAAGGAUCAGCUCGCCGAUGCCUUGACCAAACCACUCCCGCGAGUCCGGUUCAAUGAUCUGUUUGUCAAGAUUGGUCUGUCUCCGACCAGUCCAUCUUGAGGGGACGUAUUAGUAUAUAUCCAUAUUAGAAAAGUACGAUAGUUAGUUAGCUGUAGUUAUCUAUAACUAUUGUUGUUAUCCUUAGAUUGAGUCUUAUCAAAGAUCUUCUAAGGCUUGUAUAUAAACGCUCUUAAGUAGUCAAUGAGAAUACACUUGAAACCCAUCUUACAGAUAUAAUAAUAAUGGUAAAUUGUAUAGACCCAUUUGUAAGGCCUCAUACUUUUCUUAUCUCAAGAAACGGUUAAAACAUCUUUCCUCCGCUCCUGAUUUCUCUCAUCUGCUCUCUGUCUUCUCGCUUUUUAAUAAAGACAUUUAAUAAAUUUCCCAUCUCUUAUAUUCAUCUCUGUUUCUUUGCUGAGAAAAUGGAGGAAAUUUUUUUUCUCUUUUAUUAACGAUAUUCUGUUUUCCUUUUGUUGUGUUUCUCUCGGUGACCAGUUUCCGGUUCGUGCAUGUUAUUUCUGUUAGAUUUUGCAGAUUCUUCGCCCCUUCAAAUCAAUUUUCUUUUUCUAUUUUUUUUUUAAGCCUCGAACUUUCUCUCAAAAUCUAUGGCGGAAGAGCAUCGAUCUCAGACGCCUGAAGGCCACCGUCUCUGUUCUAACAACUGUGGUUUCCUCGGCAGCUCCACUACCAUGAAUCAUUGCUCCAACUGCAACGGCGAUUUCUGCCUCAAGAAACAAACUUGUCUGAAAUCCACCUUCAAAUCCUCUAUAUCGACAGUUUCCCCUCAGUAGUUGGAAAUCGUUUGAGUCUCUUCACUGAUGAUCUAACCUCUGGUUCGAAACUCAUUCGCUGAAUUGAGAUAAGGACGACGAACGUGCCAACGCAGACGAAAACCCAGCUAUAAAGACGGUUGAAUCGUUGCAGGGCGUGCAGGGAUGACUUGUUGCGAGUCCAUAGAUACCCAGAGUCUAUGGCUGCAUCUUUCAUUUCAAACCGCCGGUCGCUGCUCUCAAAUACGGAAAGUAAGAUUUCUCUCGAUUUUAGGAAAUUUGGUGAUGAUGAUAAAUGGAUGAAUACUAAUCUUUUUAUAGGUGAGAAUCACCGACUGGAAAAUGGAUAGAUUCAUUGAAUUCGAGAUCGUAGUCAUAGUGGAGCGUAAGAGUUAAGUCUGGGUUAAUUAUGUCGAAUCAAUAUGACUUGUAACGUUUUGGAGGUAGGUGAAGCAUCGAGUCUAAAACUUCAUGAGCAGAGUCCAGCGGGAAGAUUAAUUAUCCAUCGACUAUCUCAGAACAGCCAUUGUUGGUAGAUAGAAGCGGAGGUAUAGCAAAUGAACCCUAGAAUUGUCAGGCAGGAAGAAGAUAACAUCGAUAUGGACUUCUCUUUUUUAUCUGGAUUUGGGCCCAAAAAAUCAGUAACUAUCUAUAUCAGUAUUUUUAAUCUAAUUUUCGGGAAAGCCCAUUAACAAAACACAAAGCAAUCGAUGUUAAAUUGAAACAACGCGGAUUGAAUCUUGGACACGUGUCGCAAUGAUAUGAACUGACUUAUCUACCCAUGUUGCUUUAUUAGAGUGAAGCAAACACUCUUUUAUAAUAAUAGACUAGGAGUUAAUCCGCGCUACGCGCGGAGCUAUUUUGAUUUUCAAAUGUUAACUAUGUAGCUAAUCUUUUAGACGUUGUAUUCUAAACGAAAACAAAAUUAUGAACUGUAUAAUUGUGUAAAUACAUAUUUCUUUAGAAAAAACAAAAAACUAUACAUUUUUCAGAUAGAUAUUUGAUAUAGUUUUUCAUUUCUUAUAUUGUAUAUUUAGUUUUUUUUUUAUAUUGUAAAGCAAUUCUCUCAAAUAGUAAUUUUUAAGUUUUUGUCACAAAAUAACAUUUAAUAAGAAAAAUGACCAAAAUAGUCCCUUUUCAUUUUGAAAAAUUUAAUAUUUAUUUUUUAUUUUACUCUAAAACCCUAUCCUCAAAACCCCACCCUUAACUCUAAACUCUAGGUCUAGAUUAGUUAACCGUAGGUAUAAAUGUAUUUUUACUCUUUAAUAAAAAAAUUUUGGUCAUUUUUCUCAUUGCAACUAUUUUUGUGACAAAAAACUAAAAAUGGCUAUCAUAGGAAAUUUUUCUAUAUUGUAUAUUUUUUUAUUCUAAUUUUUUUGUUUUUAUAUCAGAUGGUAAUAAUAUGAUAGAUGUUUAAUGUAAUAUUUUUAUUUCUUAUAUUGUAUAUUUGCUUACUGUUUAUCUUUUCUUAUUUUUAUAUUUACUUAUUCUAAAUUUCAUGCAUUUAUAACAAUGAUAAUAUUACGAUAUAUUUAAUAUAAUAUUUUUAUUUUUUAUAUAUUAUAUUUACUUAUUAUUUAUUUUUUCUAUAUUUUAUAUUAGCUUAUUCUAAUAUUACGAUAAAUGUUUAAUAUAAUAUUUAUAUUUCUUAUAUUGUGUAUUUAGUUAUUAUUUAUUUUACUAUACAAUUUUCAAAUAUAUGUCUAAUUUAGUUUUUUCAAUUUCUAAUUGUAUAUUUAUUUAUUUUAAUUUUUAUGCUUUUAUAUCAAAUGAUAAUAUUAUGAUAGAUGUUUAAUGUAAUAUUUCUAUUUCUUAUAUUGUAUAUUUAUUUAUUAUUAUUUUAUCAUACAUUUUUCAGAUGGAUGUUUAAUGUAUGUUUUUUUAUUACUUAUAUUGUAUAUUUACUUAUUAUUUAUUAUUCUAAUAUUAUGAUAUAUAUUUGAUAUAAUAUUUAUAUUUCUUAUACAUUAUAUUUACUCAUUAUUUAUUUUAGUAUACAUUUUUCAGAUAGAUGUCGAAUUUAGUUUUUCCAUUUCUCAUAUUAUAUAUUUACUUAUUGAUUAUUUUUUCUUAUGUUGUAUAUUUACUUAUUCUAUUUUUUUUUUGCUUUUAUAUCAAAUAAUAAUAUUACAUUAGAUUUUUAGUGUAAUAUUUCUAUUUCUUAUAUUAUAUGUUUAUUUAAUGUUUUGUUUUUCUUAUAUUGUUUAUUUAUUUAUUCUAAUAUUAUGAUAAAUGUUUAAUAUAUUAUUUAUAUUUUGUAUAUUGUAUGUUUACUUAUUAUUUAUUUUACUAUAUAUUUUCAGAGAGAUGUUUAAUUUAUUUUUUCAUUUCUUAAUUUUAUAUUUACUUAUAGUUUAUUUUUUUAUAUUUUAUAUUUACUUAUUAUAUUUUCCUGCUUUUAUAUCAGAUAAUAAUAUUAUGAUAUAUGUUUAAUGUAAUAUUUCUAUUUUUUAUAUCGUAUGCGUGUUUUUCUUAUAUUGUAUAUUUAUAUAUAGAAAUAUUUAAAAUGAUAAAAAUGUAAACCUAUACAUUUUUCAUAUAGAUGUUUUUUCAUUUCUUAAUUUUAUAUUUACUUAUAGUUUAUUUUUUUAUAUUUUAUAUUUACUUAUUAUAUUUUCCUGCUUUUAUAUCAGAUAAUAAUAUUAUGAUAUAUGUUUAAUGUAAUAUUUCUAUUUUUUAUUUUGUAUGCGUGUUUUUCUUAUAUUGUAUAUUUAUAUAUAGAAAUAUUUAAAAUGAUAAAAAUGUAAACCCAUACAUUUUUCAUAUAGAUGUUUAAUGUAGUUUUUCUAUUUCUUAUACUGUAUAUUUAUUUAUUAUUUUUUUUUCUUAAGUUGUAUAAUUAUUUAUUCUAAUUGUUUUGAUUUUAUAUCAAAAUUUUAAUAUUGCGAUAAAUGUUUAACGUAAUAUUUCUCUUUCUCAUAUUGUAUAUUUACUUAUUAUUUAUUUUAUUAUACUUUUUUAAGAUAAAUGUUUAAUGCAAUGUUUAUAUUUCUUAUAUUGUGUAUUUACUUAUUAUUUAUUUUUUCUUAUAUUGCAAAUUUACUUAUUAUUUAUUUUCUAUUUUUUUGGUAAUAAUGGCAUGUGUCAUCUUUGGAGAGAAUUUUUUUUCGCUGAUGUGGACGCUCUAUGGAACCUCAAAAGGUCUCUUUUAUUACUAUAUAUAUUAGGAAUAAAAUUAGCUAAUCUCUUAUAUAUUAAAAGGCAUGCGUUGGAUUUAAUGCAUUCACAUUACUUUCGCCACGUGACGUUCUCACAUUCAUUUGGAAAAAAUUACGCUGACAUGUCAUUUUAUUAGAGCACCUCAGAAUUUUGUUUCCUAUUUUGAUUAAAAGCUACAACAAAUGUUUUACAUUGUCUAUAGUCUCAUGUUUCAUGUAAGUUUUCGAACUUCAAAUGUCCUUCUCAUAAUAAUCACUGAUACAGUUUCAUAAAGAUCUUUUAGAGUAGAUGAAAAUGAAAAUAUGGUGACUGUACAAGGAUCUAAGUAAACUCGAUGCUCAACUUUGUUUUAAAUAUUUUUCUUUGCCAUUCCCGUUUUAAAUUUUUUUUUCCUUUCAUUUGUUUUGUCUCUCUUUAGAUAGCUGAAAGUAGGAAGCUGGUCUCAUCUAUAAAAGACAGCACACCUAACUUGGAUGAUGGAAAAGUUUCUUCCAAAGAAGAGUAUGAUUCUUCUGUGUGUGCGAACACAAAUGCAACUAAGAAAGAUAAGAUGGGUAAGAACGGAAGCGGUAGUGCUAACCCAAAACUAAUUAGAAUUUGUGUAUUUAAUUAUUGGUUACCUCAAAACUAAUUAGAAUUUACAAUAAUUUAUAUAUUCUUGUGUUUGUAUGCUGUUACAGGAUUCCUAUCGCAACAUAAUAAAUUCAGACUUGAGAGUUGAUCAAGUUUGAAGAAUUUUUCGUUUGCUUAAUACUAUGUUUUCAUUUUACCUAAUAAUGUUGUUUGCCUUUCAAAAUUUUGCUAGCCAUCUAUUUAUUAUAAGUUUUAUACUUAUACAUCUUAAUAAAAUCGAGCAUUUUAGUUAUAAUACUUCUUCUACAGCAUUCUUCAUCGUUAACCUCCUGCACUUUUGUGAUGGUUUCAAUCCUCUUUUUUUUGCCUGAAAAAUAAGUUCAAAUUGAAAAGAUAUCCUAUAUUAAUGACUCAUAUAUCCUAAACCUCUGCACAUAAGUCGUGGCCAAUGAAAAGUAAAAAAAAAUCCAAUCUAUAACCAAAUCAAUAUCAACAUUAAACACACCUAAUAUCUUCUUAUCUUAUAAAUAACUAAAUUAAUAUUCUCAACCCGCGUCAAGUAUAUAAAUAUUUAAAGAUAGAGAAUGAAAACAAAAAAUGGUGCUACAUGAAUCUAACGGUUGGAAUUCAUCGAAUCCCAGAAUCGACGGUGAAGCUAAGUUUCUACAGAAAUGAAGUCGUCGCUAGAAUCAUCCAUCGUUAGUUCGUCAACGACUUCAAUCAUACUCGGUCGCCGAUCUGGAUCUUCUCCGAUACAUCUCACACCGAUGCGCAAAACAUUCUCGAUCUCAUCCCACACCAUUUUAUCAUCGCGAGCGGCAGUUACAACCGUCGGAUGAAGCAGAUCCACGUCGGAGCCAAUCCACUCCGCCAAACUCGCGCCACCGGCUGGAUCCAAUCCACCGUAUUGCGGCGGGGACUUCCCCGUCAAGAUCUCUAACACCACGGCUCCGAAAGUAUACACGUCGGAUUUCGCAGAGACGGUUGCGUCGCUAGAGCUAUACGCGGCUAGGGAUUGGGAUUGAGCGUCGGGGCUGAUCAAUCUCUGGAGGCCGAACUCGGAGAUCAGCGGCUCGCCGUCGUCGGCGAGGAAUAUGUUGCUCGAUUUUAGGUUUCCGUGAGGUAAGGUUAGAAACGCUAACUCUCCGUGGAGGUAACACAUCCCUCUUGCGAUUCCUUGAAUGAUUUUAAACCGUGAAGGCCAGUUUAGUUGCGAAUCCUCCUCGCUUUUUAAUCGGUGAAGCAGGCUUAGAUUAGGGAUGAAUUCGAACACUAGUAGCUUCUCGUCUCGCCUGGAAUGGUAAGCCAGAGGCGUUAGGAUGUUCUUGUGACGCAAGCUUCCUAGGUUUUUGAUCUCUUGUGCGAAUACGCCUAUACUCACUUCAUUCAUCACCGUCACUCGCUUCACCACCACCUUGACUCCGCUCGCGAUCACCGCCUUGUACGCAGAUCCCACGCUUCCCCCGCUGUUAGGCUGGCCGUUGGGAGCUCCGAGAACGUGAGCUGAUGAUUUUAGUAACUCCUCUAAAUCGAAAACACCCUUUUCUUUGUUCACCAUCACCAAAUCUGUCCUCAGCUCGCGGAAACUACUGGGCUUACCAUGCCUCGAGGCUCCACUUCUUGAUCCGUCAACAGUUACCUAUCAAACCACAUCAAGAAUUAUGUUAUGUUUAAUUUCAGAUCUCUCUUAGAUGUGUUUAAGCUGCGAAGUUGCCAGGUGGUAUACAUGGAAAUAUACAUGAAGUCGCGAUUAAGCUGCCUAAACAUAGAUCCAACGCGCUAUUAAAGAAAUGCUCUAAGCAUAGACCAACGGGAUAUUAAAUAAAUGCACUUCUAGCAUUGCGACUAACCUGAAUUUGUUGAUCCUCUGUGUUGUCUUGUUCAGAGGUACGAAGCAUACUCGUCCUCCUCUUCUUUAGGAUUAAUAAGAAGAAUAUGAUAAGGAUAAAAAGGAACCCUAGUGUACCGAAUGCUAUAUAGUAUUUGCUCUUAUACUCAGCUUUCUUGUCUCCGUCUACUGAGAUCGAUGCAGUCGAAAUUCCCGGCUGCGUGCAGGUUGUUCCUAGCUCUGCACCACAAAGAUCAGAAUUUCCCGCGAAACUGCUUGCCUUGAAUCUUGACAAACCGGGUGGUAUUUCUCCGGUUAGCCGAUUGUUUGAGAGAUUGACAUCAGCUAAACCCGGUUGGGUGAAGUUCGGUAUAAUCCCAGUGAAUUGAUUGUUUUCGAGGUGUAGCUCCAUCAGUUUUGGUAAUGUAGUGGCAAGCGAGAGAGGGAUGUGGCCAGAGAACUCGUUGUUCGACAGCCACAAUUUCUUCAGGGAAAGCAUUCUUGCGAAAUAAUCAGGAGGGAUAUCACCAGAGAACCGAUUGUUUGAUAAGUAAAUCGAUUUCAGAGCGGUUAAUCGGUUAAACUCUGGUAUUUUACCGGAGAAGGAGUUGUUCAUUAUGCUUACGGUGCGUAAACCGGGUAGGUCGACUAAGGGUGCAACGUCAAUGUUUCCUGUGAGACCCAAUUGUUCGAUUUGGAGGCCAAAAACAGAGUUUUUGUUGCAUAGCAAUCCGAACCAUCGUUGUGUUCUUCCGCAAGGCUCUGAAUCUAAUGUCCAAGAAUCGAGAGACUUGGUGUUUGUUAGUGAUUCCUUGAAUUUCAGCAAUGCUUCUGCUUCGGUUAACGAGUUAGCAGAAAGUGCUGUGAGAGAUAGCAUGAGCGGCCAAAUUAGCCAGGCCACGGCCAUUUACUUAACAGGUGCUAGGCUGCCGGAAUUCUCGAAACGUUUUUAAUUUUUUCCGUAAUAACCAAAUUAGUUCUCUCGUUUUUUCUUUGCUGAUGUGAUUUACUAAUUUUCUCUGUUCCUGUCUUGUUUCUCGCUCUGUCUUUUCUUUUUCUUUGUCAUUUGUAAUCCAUUGAAUGAGAGGGGAUAAAGAGCUUAUGGCGCGAAUGGUAGUUGAAAGAGUCAAAAUUGAGAAAGGCAAAAGCAAUUACGAAAUACUAGAUGCCUAUGCAUUUUAGUGGGCCCACAUUGCUACCAUUUGAUGUUAGAGUCCAAGCCCAAACUUGAUCUAAGAGCAUCUUUAUCUUUAUCGGGAGAUCUUAUGAGGAGUUUUUAGUUUAAUUAGGAAUUAAAGAAAAAGAAAAAAGCCAAUUACCAGAAGCAACGUAUCUUAAUUAGGUGACAUAGGAUACGCCUCUUGAUGCCACCCGUCGCUUUUUUGGGGUAGACAAUUUCUUCUCCCUCUUCCUUGCCCUGUCGCUGACGAAGAACCCCGCUUUCUCUGAGGUUUCCUAAUCAGAGAUGGAGAUUGAUUCCGUCGCAGCUGGAGGAGCUCUUAAACCAGAUGGAGAUCGAUUCCGUCGAGACGAGGAACCCCGCUUUUUGAUAGGUGUGGGCGAUUACAGAUGCAAAGAGGCAAGGUUUAAUCCCCUCCGCCCUUAAACCAGGAGGAGCUCUCCGGUUUAAUCCCCGGCGCCGUCCGCUUCACCUUCCCAUCACUUGCUCUGUCUCUCCAUCAAACCAUCACUUUCUCUGUCUCUCCAUGAAAUGAUGAACCAUCCUCCGGUAGUUUUAGUGUUUUUGAGCUUAAAGUUUGUCACUUUGAAUUGAAAAAGAUAAGAUAAUGAUUGAUUGUGAGAUUGUUAAACUUAAAGGACAAAGCUUUCCUUAUUACAGAACUCUGUGAUAGUUCAUGGGUUGUCGGAAAGUUGAAACCUUUUAUGUGUUUCCUUAUUACAGAACUCUGUUAGAUUGCUUGUACUUUUGUCACUCCCCUGUUUUGGAUUGAAAGCUGAAACCUUUUUUAUGUUUUUUCCUUUAUUACAGAACUCUGUGAGAUAAGCACAUACGUUUGCGUCAUUACCUCUCUAAGAUAAGCCACAGGUUCCGCAUCUUUCUGCUUCUACAGUUUCUGGUCGUCACUGUUAGCCAGUUUACCACGUUUUUCCAGACCACUGCGUAUAGCGGACGUAUCACGUAUAUAAACGGUGGUGAUUUCACGGUGAGUCGAGCUUUAGUUUCUUCUUUGGUUUCUUGUUAUACGAUGAUGUUAAAAGUUUGGGAUGGUUAUGUUUUCAGGUCUCUGCGGUGGUCCAAGUUGUUGGGAUUAUUUUGUCUGCACGCAGCAACGAAAAUAUCUCAUAGAGCUCAAGCGAUAGCAUCAGUUGCAAGUAAAUGGCAUGCAAUAAUGUUGUGCUAAUCUACGGAUACAACUCAGAUAAGGACUUGUCCUAGUGGAGUUCACUUGGAAGCCACCACGAAUCCACCCAUCUCCUUUCAGAAUUAGGUACGCCAUUGCUGAAUGACACCAUCUUUGAUCACUUAUUUGGAAAAAUAUUUUUGUCUGCUUUGGUGUUUUUGCAUAUGUAUACAAAUGUUUUUAUCACAUUCUUUCUUAUCAUCUGAACUUCUUGUUUUUUUUGUGCUGUGUUUCUACUUGUAUUUUAAAUCUAUGUUUAAAAUGUUAUGUUUAAAAAUUUAAUAAAUAAAUUUGAAGUUUAAUAAAAUAAUGUUUGAUAUUUUUUUUAAGAAACCUUAAAUAAGAGAUUGCAAUGGACCACACAAAUAUAUCCGUCUCUUAACUAGGUCUCUUAAACCCAUUUUUCCAACUAAAAAUUAUUAAAAAAAGAUUAAGAACCCCUAAAUGAGUAUGUGGGAUAAUGAUGCUCUAAGAAACUAGAAUCAUAUUGAAGUUUGGUUUUACAAUUUUUUAAAAAAAAAUUUUUAGAGAACUUGCAUUUGUGCAAGUAAUACUUCAUCCGUUUCUAAUCGUAAUUAGUUUUGUUUAAAACCACAAAUAUUUAAAAAAUUGUUAUUUAAAAGAAUAUAUCAUUUAACCAAUUAAUUCAACCAAUUAUUAAAAAUCUAUAUUAUUAAAAGAGAAGUACUCAUUUGAAAACGUUCUUAUUUCAUUAAUUAAACUCUUUUUUUUUUGCUUUGUCUUUUUCAGUUGCAUUUAUGAAAUAUCCUAAAACGAAUAAAACUGCCUAAUUUAUUACUUGUCUUUUCAGUUACAUUAAUGAAAUAUGCUUAAAUGAAUUUAAACUUCAUAUUUUAUUGUUUGUCUUUUUCAGUUAUCUUAAUGAAAUAUCCUUAAAUAAAUUUGGACAUAAUGUCAUUUAAUCAACCAAAAAAACUCAUGAGUUAUCCUUACGUGCAUAAUUUUAAUAAUGGAGAUUUUUAAAAACGUGCAUCAUUAAAAUGUUACCUAAAACAUGCAGCACUAAUAUAUAACAUGCAUCAAUAAAACUAGAAUUUGACUCACACAAUUGUACGGAUAUUAUUUUCAGUUGAUUAAAUUUAAAAAUAAUUAUUUAUUCAAAAAAUAUUUAAGAAUGACUAUGUUUUUAAAAAUUAUAUGGUAUUAUUUGCUCAUAACUCAUUUGUCAUUUGUUAAAUUGUUAGAAAGAAAAUUUUAGCAUAAUAUAACUCAGUUGUCAUUUGUUAAAUUUAUGGUUUUUAUUUAUAUUUUUUAUUAUUUAAUUAUAAUAUUUUCAUUUUAUAUUUGAAAGAUAAAUGAAUUUUCUUUCAAACAAUAUUUUUGUAAAUGUACUUUUUAAAAAAUAAUCAAUUAAAAUUGUUACUAUCAUUGAAUAUCAUUAUUUUUGACAUAAUUUGAGUUUUUGUUUACAUCAAAACUUAUCAUAUUUUAGGAUAAUUUUAAUUUAAAAUGUAGUUUUCAUAUUUUUCAAACAAAUUCUAAAAAUAUUUUUUAAAUAUUUUGUUAUAAUUUUUUAAAAAAUAUUGAGUUGCAUUUCAAUUAAAAAGGUAAAGAUAUUAAAAAUAUUCUAAUUAAAAUAUGUAAAAUUUAAUAUAGUUUUAAGGAAAUUGUCAAAAUAAAAAAAAUUACACAUAAAAUAAUCAUGAUUUUUGUUAACUAGGCGGAUUAUUAUUUAUAUGAUAUCGCACACGAAAAAAAAAAUUCUGUUUUUAAAAUUAUCUAAUUAACUCUAUACUCAUUUUUCUUAUAUUUUUUAUAUGAUAUCACACAUUCGUAAAAAAAUAAGUAGUUUAAGAUGCAAAAAAAAAAAAUCUAAUUAAUGAAUAUAAUAUGAACGAAUAUUACAAAUACAUCAUUUAAUAAAAUAAAUAAUUAAAAACUGAAAAUUCAUAUCCGCGCUGGCGCGCGGAUCAGGAUCUAGUCUAACAUUAUUUCAUUGGUCACACAAUAUCCAAUAAAUGAAAAAGAUGCAUUGAAAUAUGUAAACUACUUAUAUUGUGAAACAAACUAUUUUCGCUAAAACUAAUUACAUUUAGAAACGAAAGAAUUAGUAGUUUUGUUAUACCUGCAUCUCAAAAUGCUAAAUAUUUAGUCCCCAGAUUGCAUUUUUUAAAACAAAAUUUAAAUAAUUAACUUGUUCAAUGAAUACUCGGGACCAGAUUGUGUUUCAAAAACAUGCUUUUCGUUUCUAACAUUCCGUAUGAAGCCUGUGAAGAAGUUCCAAUUUUUUGUUGUUCACAUUCAAAGUAUUUGUCGGUGUCAGAUUCGGUUUGCUUUAUCACUAGUUGUAAGUUUGUAACGGACAUUUUUGCAAAAAAAAAAAAAAAAAUUGAAACGGACUUUUUUGGAAAAAAAAAAAAAAAAAUUGAAACGGACUUUUUUGGAAAAAAAAAAAAAAAAAUUGAAACGGACUUUUUUGGAAAAAAAAAAAAAAAAAUUGAAACGGACUUUUUUGGAAAAAAAAAAAAAAAAAAAAAAUUGUAACGGACCUACUUCCAUUGGUUAAUGAUGGAAACGCAAAGCUUCUCUAUUUCGCCGUCACACAUUAAUGCAAAUGACUGUUUACAAUAUAUUUCAACGUAUAACCAUUUGCAACGUAUAUACUAUAUGAAUGAAACGUCAAAUGGACCAAUGGUAACAUUUACAAACAUUGCUUCUCAGACAUCCCAUAAAUUUGUAUAUUAUACAACUAGGUGAUUAUCCGCGCACAUGCACAAAAUGAAAUGUAUAAUCUAAUAAUUGUUGAAUACGAAUUUUAACCGUCCAAUCAUAAUUAUAUAAUUCGUAAGCCCUAUAUAUAUUAAUCUAAAUAUCUAUUAAAUAUGAUUUACUCAUAUGGUUUUAUGAUUAUUUGUAUUUUAUUAUAACAAAAAUUUUAAACUAAAAAUCAUAAAAUUUUCAGUGUGAGACUUUUAACAAUUUUUCGUUAUUUAUAGUCAUUUUAAAAAUUAAAAAAAUAUAACAUAUAUGAAAAAAAUCUAAUUAUUAAUAUGGUUAAUACGAUUGUUUAAUUUAUUUUUAAUAAUAUAACAUUAAAAAUAACGAAUAUAUGUAAAUUAUUGUCAAAUCUUUAUACUUAAAAUUAUUAAUUGUCAAAUAUAUAUUUUGUUCACUUUUGGUAAUUCUGUAAUUUUUAUUUAAUGAAAGAAGGAAAAACAAUAAUUGUAGAUUGUUAAUUAAUUUCAUGGUUAGUUUAAAAAGAAGUAUAUAAGAGCAUCAGCAUUAAUGUACCCCAUAAAAGGGGUUCACAAAGUAUUUUUUUAUUAUUUUUUUUUCUGUUUGAUUUUUGUUUUAAAAAAAAAAAAUUAUUAAUCGGACCAAUCGCGGGCCGCCACGUGUCGUGGGGCCCGCGCUACAGUGAUGAUCCGUGUUCAGUGCAGUGAACUCCCAAGAGGCAGGUUCAUUGCUUUUAUUUAUUUUAAUUUUUUUUUUUUUCGAAAACUGUGUGAACUCUCCGUGGAGUUCACUGAUGCUGAUGCUCUAAUAUAUGUUUAGUAGAUCAACAUAUUUUUCUAAAGACUUUAAAAAACAUUCUAAUGAUGAUUCGUGUCAUAAUUAAAAUGUUGUAAUGUUUCUCUUUUAAUAUACAUGGGAUCUCCAGUCAUUUUAUUUAUUUUUAGAUUACCUCAGCUACAGGAGUGUAACAUAGAUAGGGAUCGUCAUGUAGAAUAUUGCGAUGGUCUUGUGUAGCAAAAGAAGCACUGCUUGAAUGCAUAUUGCAUUGCAUCACUAAAAACAUAUAUUAUGUUUAUGUAUAUAUUAUUAUAUAUAGACUCGAGAUGGUGUUACAAAAAAAAAAAAAAAGUGUUACAAAAAAAAGACUCGAGAUGUUGUUCAACCGUAUUGUAUUCUCAUUGAUAAAAUCUUGCAAGUUGUGCUGAAUAUGAUUUUAUUCCUCUUGGCACUAUCGUCUACGACAUUUGUUAUAUAAUAUUUUGCGUCUCCAUACAUGUUAAAUUCUUUAGUCUCUUGUUGGUGCUGGAACUUAUUUUAACGAAAAUUCAACGCACACCUUCAUUAAACAAAACGACUAAAAUUUAACUUUGUCGUUGGAAAACCUUAAUUGAGCAAAAAAAAAAAUCAUAUUAGGAUUUAGGACUAAGCAAAAUUAACUCUUGAGUAAGUUGAAUUUUCUAAACACAUACAUCAAACAAAAAGGUCUACAUGUAAAUUAUUCAGAUACCUCUUUACACUCUCGAUAUACUAGUGAAAUUGUGACUAAGACAGGGUUGUGCUAUGGUGAAAAAGCGUUCACUUUUAGCAACAAUUAGUGGUUAGGAACUAUAAAUUGAUUCUUUGUGCUCUUAACUCGAUGUACGUUGGAAAGAUUGUUUUACAAUAGGUCAUAUAAGGCAUUAUUGUUAGCAAGAGCUGAUCCUGAAUCUAAGACCAACAUUAUCGGCACUUCUUAGCGAAGUUGCUUAGUAAUAAUCACCCAAAAUUUAAAUCAAAAUUAUGGAAAAACAAAAGAGUCGUCGGUUAAUUAAGAACUUUUCGAACAUGUCCUUAAAGGGCACGUGGCGUAAGGCAACAAGUUUACCGAAUGGGGUAGGGGAAAGUAAAGUUUACGGUAUCGACUUCAUUCUCAUCGUCUCCCUAUUCUCUCUCUUUCGUCGGCGAUUUCAAACAGACGGUCAUCUGGUCGUUCAAUCCACACCGAUCUCUCCUGUCAUCGAACCCUUCUCCGCCGAAUCCAAUCGAAACCGGGUAUGUGUUCCUCCUCUGUCCUCCGUUUUGAGAUUUAUAGGAAUUGUUUGUCGAAAAUAAGUCCUCCGUAUCUGGGUUUGAUUGGAAAUUUAUAUUGUGACGAUUUGAUUGCAUGCUUUUUGUUUGUGAUUGUUCACCGAUCUGUUUCUGAUUCUAUGUUUGGUGUUUGAGUAAAUCUAAUUGAAAAUUAGGGUAGAUUUAGGGAUUUCAGAGAAGAAGCCAUUUUUAGAUUCCUUUUCUUGAUGAGUACAAUUGAUCUUCGAUGGAUUUCAGUGUUUGAGUAAAUGUAAGGGUCUUCUCUUUGCACCGUGUCUCUGUUUUUUGAUUUUUCCUCUGCAAAUCCAUUCAAAGGUUUAUUCUUUCCUUAGCUUUUUCAUUUUUUGAGGAAUGUUGUAUCAAGAAUUGUGUAUUUUCUGUAAAUUAAUUACAAAGGGUGUAUAUUUAUGUAGUUUUACGGGUUUCAUUAGCUUGCUUUCUCGUUGAUUUCAAUUGCCACCAUAUUGGUUUAUGAUUUUGGUGUUUUGGUUAUCUUUGUAGAUUUGAGAAUUCAUGUUUAGAAGUUCAGUGUUUAUAGGGUUUAUCAUUUUUGGUAACUCAGUAUUCGUUUUGUAACUUGGUGAUUUAUGGUGUGUUCUCAUAGCAUUAUUUUUCAAAUGAUUGGUAGAAUAUAAGAUUUGUUAGAAAACGACGUAUGCGUGGUGAUUCACUCAUUCGAGUUUUAUGGUGUGUUCUCAUACCAUAUGUAACCUUUUUGCGAAAAAGUAUAUUGUUUAGUACGUUUAUUCUUGUAGUUGGUUUCGAACGAAAUCGUUUUUAACUUAAUUGAAGGUUAGUGACCUAAAUUGACAAGUCUGAAUGAAGAGAUGUUUAUGGUUAGUUCUUUGUCAUUGGAGUCUAGUUUGUUUGAAACCAAAUCCUCUUAUAAUUUAAUUACUUGAUAGCUUUUUGGUUGUGCAAUGUGUAAUAACUCUUGAUUAGACGUUGGUAGUUUAUGGUUAUGUCUUUAUUAUUCUUACUUAUUGCUUCUUCAAGUUUCACCUAUUAAACCCCAACCAUCCCUCAUUGUAUCAUAUAUCUCCGGUUUAUCUACGGUUUCUCUUCUAUACUCCUCUCUCUGUUCUAAUCCAUACGGAUUCAAAGAAUCCAUAUAGUCAGUCUCGUAGUUAUGUAGGCCUUCUUAACAGUCAGAACUUUCCUUAUGAAAGUUAUCCUUCUACUUUAAACUUUGGAGCCUCAGAUUUCCCUCCUUUCAGUUCACAACAAACCGACGCUCCAGAUGUACGUGAAGACACACCAGUGGCUUGUAGGGAGAGAAGGAAAUAGACUCCAGCUGAUGACGAGGUCCUAAUAAGUGUGUGGCUAAACACAUCUAAGGAUGCUGUUGUUGAAAUGAACAAAAAUCAGGGACCUUCUGGAAACGAGUAGGUGAAUAUUAUGCAGCAAGUCCUCAUGCUGGAGAGAGUGGUGAACCAAGAGAGCAUCUCCAUUGUAAGCAGAGGUGGCACAAAAUCAAUGACUUCACCAACAAAUUCUGUGGUGCAUAUGCGGCAGCAAAGAGACAUAUCAGUUUUGGUCAGAAUGAUAAUGAUGUUCUCAAGGUGGCUCAUGACAUCUUCUACUCUGAUCACAACACGAAAUUUAAUCUUGAACAUGCGUGGUGUGUAUUGAGGUAUGAGCAGAAAUGACUUAGCCUUAACACUCCUAAAAUUAGUGGGAGUUCAAAGCGAAAAGCUGGAGAGACAUGUUCACAAACUUCAAGCACCACUAUUGGUGAUCAUGAGAUCCGUCCUGAAGGUAUCAAGGCUGCUAAAGCUAAAAGGAAUAAUACUCAAGGGAAGUCUCUUGCUGAGUAUACGAGCAUUUGGGAAAUGAAGAAGGAGGAUCUCAUGAUGAAGGAGAAACUGUCAAAGCUUGCCAUACUAAACACACUCCUAGCCAAGAAAGAACCACUAAGUGAGGCUGAAGAAGUUGUCAAGAAUAAGCUACUCGCCCAUUAUUUCUGAGAAUUAGAGCUUGUCUAUGUUUCUAUGUUUCUAUGUUAGAACUAUGUCUUAAAAUUUAUGUGUUUAGUACUUUGUAUUAUCUUAAACGUGAUGAAUUCCCUUCCUGUUUGCUUUUAAAAUGUCUAUCUUUAUUAAUGAAUAACUUAUAAUGUCUAUCUAUGUAUUUCUGCUUUCUACUUUAUAAAUGAAUGUUGCUAUUUUAUUAAAAAAUUGUCUAUCUUCCUAGAUCAUUAGAUGUCUAUCUAAUAUGAUUAGUUUUUUUCAGGUUUAGUUAAAAUGGGCCGUCGAUAUAGCUACAGCCAGCCUUAAGAUCCAGAGGAGUAUGGUGGGGGAGAUAGCUGACAGUGGAUACAACUCAACGAAAGAGCUUAUUCGUCGGGACCAAGCUGAGUUAAGCAUCAAUUGUGGUGCACCGGCUCAGUACCCUCCGCAACCCGAGGUUGAGUUUGGAUUCCCGCAGACAUGCUACUGUGGUGGUGAACCUCUACUAGCAACGUCGUACACAAAAAACGAUCCAGGAAGAAGAUACUACACAUGUGAGCAGGUUGAUGAUGGAGAAUUCCAUGUUUGGAAGUUGUGGGAUGUCGCGGUGAUGGAGGAGAUGAAGGCCAGAGAUAGACACAUACUUCAACUGGCUGAAAAGGUAGAUAAUCUCACCUUUUUGAGUGACUUUGAGACUGAGCAGAAGUUGGUUAGGUUAGAGAAGCUUGUGUGUGACUUAGCAAAGAAGAGAUCAAGUUUUAUCAAUGGGUUUGAAGUAUUUGUUGGUGUAAUGAUCAUUGUUUUAGUUUUCAUAGGUUUGGUGAUCAUCUUUAUGUGAAUCCAGAUGUUGUAGUAAUCUGUAAUCUGAUUUGUACUGAUCAGUUUGUUGGUGUAAUGAUCAUCGUUAUUGAUCAGUUUUUCGAACAAGCCUUUUGUAAUGAAUCAGAUUUGUACUGAUUUUUGUUGAACUCUUUGUAAUGAUUCAUAAUGACUUAUGAAUUUAUUUAUAAAUGAACUCUUAUCGUAUUAUGGCUAUAAUUAUAAAUGAUCUCUUUGUAAACUACACAUUCAUGAAAACAUGAUUCACGAUCAUGAUCUACAAAAAUGUAUGACAAUUGGAUUGCACUUGCCUCCAAAAAUGUGUCAGAAGAUGUCUUCACUGUGUGCUCGUGAGCAUGUGUGCUCGUGACCAAUGAAAACAAAAUAUAGUGUCACAAGAUGUCCUCACGAGUAAUGAAAACAAAAUAUAGUGUUACAAGCUAGUAUCAUAAGAUACACUUCUUUUAGCCUAUAAGUAUAAGACAUCGUAAAACAUUUUUAGACAUCUUCUCCUCACUUUCAUCAUAUCUUCUCUUUUUAAAAAAAAAUUCUAAUGGCAUCUUCUUCCCAUUAUCAUUACCUCAAAGAUGAUGAUGAUGAAUUUGAUUCCAUAUUUGAUGAUUAUUUUGAAAACCCUGAUCUUAUUCCAGAACCAAAAGAGCGAAAAAAAUGUAUUUUUAUCGAGAGAAACCGGGAAGAAGGCCACCAGAAGCUCUGGAAUGAUUACUUUAGCGAUACUCCAACAUACACUCCCAAGUUAUUCCGGCGACGGUUUCGAAUGAACAAAUCAUUGUUCCUGCGUAUUGUGCAUCGUCUCUCCACAGAAGUACCGUAUUUUCAACCAACAGAAGAUGCAACCGGACGGUCUAGUCUAUCACCCCUACAAAAAAUGUACUGCAUCAAUUCGACAAUUGGCAUAUGGUGGUGGAGCUGAUACAGUUGACGAAUAUGUCCGACUUUCUGAAACAACAGCUCGAAAAUGUUUGCACAAUUUUACCGCCGGAAUAACAACUUGUUUGGCGAUGAAUACCGAAGACGUCCCACACCGGAGGAUCUGGAAAGACUACUCCAUAUCGGAGAAGAACGUGGAUUUCCAGGGAUGAUUGGAAGCAUCGACUGUAUGCAUUGGGAGUGGAAGAAUUGCCCGACCGCUUGGAAAGGAAUGUAUUCACGAGGAACUGGAAAACCAACAAUUGUGUUGGAGGCGGUAGCUUCAUAUGACCUCUGGAUAUGGCACGCGUUUUUUGGAGCUCCAGGUACUAUGAACGAUCUUAAUAUUGUUGAUCGAUCACCUGUUUUUGAUGACAUUAUUAACGAAAAUGCGUCAAGUAAACUUCUAUGUCAACGGAACGGAGUGCCAUUUGGGUUAUUAUCUCACGGAUGGUAUUUAUCCGAAAUGGACCCAAGAAGCUAUUCGAAAAGAUGUUGAACGUGCCUUUGGAAUUCUUCAAGCUAGAUUUGCCGUUGUCAAAAAUCCAUCUAAGUUAUGGGAUAAAGACAAAAUAACAAAUAUUAUGAGAGCAUGUAUCAUACUCCAUAAUAUGAUUGUCGAAGAUGAACGAUCAUCAUUCACUCAGUAUGACGUUUUUGAAUUUCAACAAGGAGAAGAUGUGGAUGAUACAUUUUCCGUCGAUAUGCCUACAAAUCUCGGCAGUACAAUUGAUCGUCGAGCGAGCGUUCGGAAUAGACAAGCCCAUCAACAAUUAAAAAAUAAUUUGAUUGAAAAUAUAUAAGCUAAAUUUGGACGUCUUCCAAAUAACAUAUAAUUUGUAAGUUUCUAUGAAUUGAAUAAAAUAUGUGUUUGCUUAAUUUUUUUUUUGUAUUUUUUUUGUUGCAACUUUGUAAUCUUAUUAUGUUUUCAAUUUUAAUGUUAUAUGUUUUAUUUAAAACUUAUCUUUUAUAUAUCAUUACUCAUUAAAAUAAAAAAUUAAUUUACUAAGAGACAACAAAAAUCCUACUAAUAAUCUACACUUUUGGGAUUGUCUCUUAGGCUUUGUCUCUUAACAUAAAAACAUAAUAAAAUAAGCUCAGGAGUUACUCUUCCUUGAGAUGGAGUAAAUUUAUUUGUGUGUUUUACUCUCAUAACAGUAACUAGAGGAAAUAGGUGGAAAUGUUUUUCUACCUGAUUGGAAAAUUUUCAGAGUAAACGAGAGUAACAAAUUUUUCACUCUUAUUAUUUACUCUGGAAGUGACAUACAGUCGCAACCAAAAUCUAAAGAUAGUCCCAGUUAAAAAAAAACAUUUAUUCUGGAAUAGUUGAAGCUUAAAAAAAAAUUAAAAUUAAAAGGGGGAAAACGCAAAUCAAGCACCGAUCAUGGGUGUACCUUUAAGAUUUUGACACGUGGUUGCAUCCAGUCGCAGAGCAAAUCUUUCACGUGCCCUAAAACUCUGUCGGGGAUAAGAUUCGUCGAUAUACAGAAUCCAAGUUCGAAUGGUAAUAGCAAAUGGGCUCCACCAUUGCAUUUCUAAACAGCCAUCAGCCGACGCGGACUAUGGCUUGUGUAACACCCUUGGUUAUGCCCUUUAAUAACGAAAAUGCCACCAUCAAACGAAUUAUUUCUCGCACAAGGACCAAUAUCGUAAAUAGUGGUUACUUUCGGGACCCGACGGCCGACGAUUUGAUGAGGACAAUUGACAAUUCGUUAACGCCUUCCACUAACGUCGCCGUCAACCUUUUUUCUUGUUUUUUUUUCAAAUUUUCUUUUCUGUUUACAUUUCGCUGCAGCCGUAAGGAAAACGUGCCGGAAGUUGUAAACGUUGGUUUGGUUUUGAAUUAGACGAAUUUAUUUAUGAUUCAUUUAAUAAUUCGUACGUGACAAAACAAAUUCUUUUAUUAAACUUAUACUGAUCGCCCAUGAAUACCUAAGAAAUUAGAAUAUUUUAGCUAAUCUUUUUUUUUUUUUUUUUUUUUUAAAUUUUAAUUUCUCUAUGCAUAUUUAACAAAUUAAAUAUAUUUUUUGUUAAAUUAUUUUUUUUUUUUUUUUUUUUGGUAAAAUGUUAAAUUUUACACAAACUUUUAAUUUUUGACAGAAAUACAGAGACACAACAAAGAAAUUAGAAAAACCAAAAUCUACGGCAGCAAAAAAAAAACAAAAUGAACAAACACUACGACCACAACCAAUACAAUCACCUUAGAACGAGAGGCCAUAUAAAUCUCUAUACCACGACUAAAGAGUAGAAAACUCCAACCACAUCAGUCCAACCACAACGAAAACACGUCGCAGCUUUGCAGGGAAAGUACGAAGCUUCAACCACAAUAAGAUUCACCGUAGCCUCGCUGGAAAAGUACGAAUUGGUACAACCACAUCAGUCCCGCCACAACGACAAACGCCACAGCUUUGCUGGAAAAGUACGAAGCCACAACCACAUCAGACCCGCCACAAAAAAAAAAUCAUCGCAGCCUCGCCGGAAAAGUACGAUGCUACAACCACAUCAGUCCCGCCACAAUGAAGAAACACCACAGCUUUGCUGGAAAAGUACGGAGAUACACUACUACCACCAAUCGAAGAGAAGAGCCUUCCAACAUCUCAAACCAAAGAAGUCCAUUAGCUGUAUCGAGCUCUUUAUUUGGAAAGGAGAUAGCCAAAGCGACUGCCACACCCACCGGACCUGCAGAAAAAGAAGACAUAGACAAUACCAAACACCGGUAGAAUGUAGACCUCCACCACCGAAAAUUUGACAGUCUCUAACACGUCGCCACAGAAGCAAGAAAACUCCGAGAGACCAAAUUGAAGCCCUCCACAACCAGUAAAAGGAUCUUCUCCGAGCAAGAAGGAGUCGGGACAAACGAUUGAAAUGGAAACUCUAGGCAGUUCCUUAAAACAAGGCUCAAUGCCACAGCCACUGUUAGAAAAGCUAGAUACCAUAUACACCAGUAGCCUACCGCAAAGACACCACCGAGACUUCAACACUCAAGCCCUGAAAAACGCUUAACCACCACCGGAAUGAAGCCUGCGGAACCUACGGCUAGCUAGUCCUCUAAGCUCACCAGAAAAAGCCCACCACCACCAUAACUGAGGAUAAAAGCACUGACCUGAGGAAGCAAAUCUCCCAGCCGAGAAAGAGAGAGAGACCACUACUUGGAGACCGAGAGAAGGCGAAGCGGACAGACACUACAAGAAAACACAUACUUAGCGAGGAAAAUUAACGAGGAAAAACAAUCCUCGUAAAUUUGCGUCGAGUUUACGACGAAUUUACGUGAAAAACUAAAGUCAUCGUUAUUUCCUCGUAACGUAACGACAAAACUGUUUCGUCGUAAAGUGGAUGUAAUUUUACGAGUAUUUUACGAGGAAAAACUAUUUCCUCGUAAAUACGACGUAAACUUUGCGUGGUAUUUACGAGGUAAUAGUUUACGUGUAUUUAGCGAGGAAAUUUUUGAAUCCACCA